AGUGAACGCUGGCGGUAGGCCUAACACAUGCAAGUCGAACGGCAGCACAGUAAGAGCUUGCUCUUACGGGUGGCGAGUGGCGGACGGGUGAGGAAUACAUCUGAAUCUACUUUUUCGUGGGGGAUAACGUAGGGAAACUUACGCUAAUACCGCAUACGACCUACGGGUGACAGCAGGGGAUCUUCGGACCUUGCGCGAUUGAAUGAGCCGAUGUCGGAUUAGCUAGUUGGCGGGGUAAAGGCCCACCAAGGCGACGAUCCGUAGCUGGUCUGAGAGGAAGAUCAGGCACACGGGAACUGAGACACGGUCCAGACUCCUACGGGAGGCAGCAGUGGGGAAUAUUGGACAAUGGGCGAAAGCCUGAUCCAGCCAUACCGCGUGGGUGAAGAAGGCCUUCGGGUGGUAAAGCCCUUUUGUUGGGAAAGAAAAGCAGCAGGUUAAUACCCCGCUGUUCUGACGGUACCCAAAGAAUAAGCACCGGCUAACUUCGUG
rnacentral:rRNA from 1 species